UACGUAGGGUCCGAGCGUUGUCCGGAAUUACUGGGCGUAAAGGGCUCGUAGGCGGCCAACUAAGUCAGACGUGAAAUCCCUCGGCUUAACCGGGGAACUGCCUUUGAUACUGGGUAUCUUGAGUAUGGAAGAGGUAAGUGGAAUUGCGAGUGUAGAGGUGAAAUUCGUAGAUAUUCGCAGGAACACCAGUGGCGAAGGCGGCUUACUGGUCCAUAACUGACGCUGAGGUGCGAAAGCGUGGGGAGCAAACAGGG
rnacentral:rRNA from 1 species